rnacentral:rRNA from 1 species
UAACACAUGCAAGUCGAACGGUAACAGGAAGCAGCUUGCUGCUUUGCUGACGAGUGGCGGACGGGUGAGUAAUGUCUGGGAAACUGCCUGAUGGAGGGGGAUAACUACUGGAAACGGUGGCUAAUACCGCAUAACGUCGCAAGACCAAAGAGGGGGACCUUCGGGCCUCUUGCCAUCAGAUGUGCCCAGAUGGGAUUAGCUUGUUGGUGAGGUAACGGCUCACCAAGGCGACGAUCCCUAGCUGGUCUGAGAGGAUGACCAGCCACACUGGAACUGAGACACGGUCCAGACUCCUACGGGAGGCAGCAGUGGGGAAUAUUGCACAAUGGGCGCAAGCCUGAUGCAGCCAUGCCGCGUGUAUGAAGAAGGCCUUCGGGUUGUAAAGUACUUUCAGCGGGGAGGAAGGUGUUGUGGUUAAUAACCGCAGCAAUUGACGUUACCCGCAGAAGAAGCACCGGCUAACUCCGUGCCAGCAGCCGCGGUAAUACGGAGGGUGCAAGCGUUAAUCGGAAUUACUGGGCGUAAAGCGCACGCAGGCGGUCUGUCAAGUCGGAUGUGAAAUCCCCGGGCUCAACCUGGGAACUGCAUUCGAAACUGGCAGGCUUGAGUCUUGUAGAGGGGGGUAGAAUUCCAGGUGUAGCGGUGAAAUGCGUAGAGAUCUGGAGGAAUACCGGUGGCGAAGGCGGCCCCCUGGACAAAGACUGACGCUCAGGUGCGAAAGCGUGGGGAGCAAACAGGAUUAGAUACCCUGGUAGUCCACGCCGUAAACGAUGUCUACUUGGAGGUUGUGCCCUUGAGGCGUGGCUUCCGGAGCUAACGCGUUAAGUAGACCGCCUGGGGAGUACGGCCGCAAGGUUAAAACUCAAAUGAAUUGACGGGGGCCCGCACAAGCGGUGGAGCAUGUGGUUUAAUUCGAUGCAACGCGAAGAACCUUACCUGGUCUUGACAUCCACGGAAGAAUUCAGAGAUGGAUUUGUGCCUUCGGGAACCGUGAGACAGGUGCUGCAUGGCUGUCGUCAGCUCGUGUUGUGAAAUGUUGGGUUAAGUCCCGCAACGAGCGCAACCCUUAUCCUUUGUUGCCAGCGGUC